GAUGAACGCUGGCGGCGUGCCUAAUACAUGCAAGUCGAGCGAACGGACGAGAAGCUUGCUUCUCUGAUGUUAGCGGCGGACGGGUGAGUAACACGUGGAUAACCUACCUAUAAGACUGGGAUAACUUCGGGAAUCCGGAGCUAAUACCGGAUAAUAUUUUGAACCGCAUGGUUCAAAAGUGAAAGACGGUCUUGCUGUCACUUAUAGAUGGAUCCGCGCUGCAUUAGCUAGUCGGUAAGGUAACGGCUUACCAAGGCAACGAUGCAUAGCCGACCUGAGAGGGUGAUCGGCCACACUGGAACUGAGACACGGUCCAGACUCCUACGGGAGGCAGCAGUAGGGAAUCUUCCGCAAUGGGCGAAAGCCUGACGGAGCAACGCCGCGUGAGUGAUGAAGGUCUUCGGAUCGUAAAACUCUGUUAUUAGGGAAGAACAUAUGUGUAAGUAACUGUGCACAUCUUGACGGUACCUAAUCAGAAAGCCACGGCUAACUACGUG
rnacentral:rRNA from 1 species